rnacentral:rRNA from 1 species
CCUACGGGGGGCAGCAGUGAGGAAUAUUGGUCAAUGGACGAGAGUCUGAACCAGCCAAGUAGCGUGAAGGAUGACUGCCCUAUGGGUUGUAAACUUCUUUUAUAUGGGAAUAAAAUGUUCCACGUGUGGGAUUUUGUAUGUACCAUAUGAAUAAGGAUUGGCUAACUCCGUGCCAGCAGCCGCGGUAAUACGGAGGAUCCGAGCGUUAUCCGGAUUUAUUGGGUUUAAAGGGAGCGUAGGUGGAUUGUUAAGUCAGUUGUGAAAGUUUGCGGCUCAACCGUAAAAUUGCAGUUGAAACUGGCAGUCUUGAGUACAGUAGAGGUGGGCGGAAUUCGUGGUGUAGCGGUGAAAUGCUUAGAUAUCACGAAGAACUCCGAUUGCGAAGGCAGUUCACUGGACUGCAACUGACACUGAGGCUCGAAAGUGUGGGUAUCAAACAGGAUUAGAUACCCCAGUAGUC